UCUGUCUCUCCCUGUCUCUUUCUUUGUGUUCAUGUGUGUGGAUGGGGUCUCCUGUGGCCCAGGCUGGCCUCAAACUUAAUAAGUAGUUAAAGAUGAUCUUGAACUCCUAAUCCUCCUGUUUCCACCUGCAAGUGCCGGAUUUUAAGGAAGACACCACCAUGGGACACACCAUCAUGCCUGGUCCUCAGCCUGGGUCCUGCUAAGCUGGGGUUCUAUAGGAGACGGGAGAUGUAAGGAUAGAGAAGAUGUGGCCUAAGUCUUAUGGAUCUCAGAGUGCUGCGUAUGUGUGCGUGUAUGUGUGUGCGUGCGUGCACCUGUGUACCUGUGCACAUGCGUGUGCAUGCCUGUGUGCGUGCCUGUGCGUGUGUGUUGGGGGAUGGGGUACCAGAGACUGAAAUAGAAGUCCAUGCUCUUGAGAAGACUGACAAAAGGAAGCCAUGAGCAAAGUUCCCAGGCCCCAGAGUGAGGUAGCCAUUAAAAGCAAGGGCUGCCCAGCCUGGGUCAUCAGGAUGAAGAGCUCCUUAGGGAUUGAGCAGCCCUCCACGUCAGUCAGUGCUGUGGUCUGGACACAUCCCCCACCAAGUCUGCAUGGUGAAACUCUAAUGCCCUCACAAAUGGGCUUAAUACCCUCAUAAAGGAGGCUCACGGAGACCCUUUAUCCCCGGUAGACGGCACAAGGACACAGCUGGAAGGUGCUGUGGCCCCCUCAGCCCCCUCACUGGUCAUCACAUCUGCCAAGCUCUUCAUUUGGUUCUUCCCAAUCUUCCAGCGCUGUGAGACAUAAAUGUCUGAUGUCUAUAAGCCUCCUAGCCUAUGGUACUUUGUUACCGCAGCCUGAAUGGACUCAGGGUUUAGAACUGUGGUGAUAGGAGCCAAUUCUAACUGCCAAGGCAGAAAAUGACUUUAUUUGACAAAUUCUGGGUGCCUCAUACACUUACAGGGAAAGCUGGAGAGGCUGAGAUCCCAGUGUGGAGGUUAAGCUGGCAGGCACCGUGCCCACUCUGCACAGAGCCAGACCAUGGGGAGCCUGCAAAGGCCACCACUGUCCCUCCAGGCGCCAGCGGAGCCUCUGUCCUGCUGUCAGCACCCCGCUGACUAACUUCCAGGCCAAGAGCUUAAUCUUGACAUAACAUCUACCUCAACUGCCAGAAACUUCCAUUACUUCCCCUGCCAAGAGUGAUGGAUUCUGGGCAUUGUCCCCUUGUUCACAUUCCUUCCUUCUGGAGCCAGGCAUUGCCUGAUGAGUCAAUCUGAGCAGUGGGGUCUAAAUCACUGUCUGAACUCCAGCUGAAAUGGAGACUGGAGAGUCAAGCUUCCGCUUUCUAUCUUGGGCAGGCGUGAGUCAUGAGGUAGACUCUACUCCCAAACCUCAGAAAGAUGUUUGCAGCUCAACCAGGAAGCGCGGUAUGGUCCAUUGCAAGGAUGCUGAGUCCUCAGAUAGACAAGUCCCUUACCCCUUGCUACCAGUGAACUUCAGCUCUGCCUGGGACAAAGUCGGCAGGCAUUCCGUACUUUACAGUGAUGGUGAGGUGGGUGAUGGCCUCACUGCUGGGCUAUGCAGUCUUUCUAUUUUUGGAUCUCCCUGGAAGCUUUCCAACCUCUGGACAGCUCUUUGUGUUAUGUGUGGGUUGGUCUUGCCACAUGGCCUGUGAUCUGAACCAUCAGUCUGAUUCUCUGCUCUUUGGAGGUCAGGCGACAGCCUGGCUCUUAGAAUUGGGCAGAAAGGAACUGUGCUGGCCUAAGAAGGGAAGGCUGAAACCAACAUGGUCAAUGAUUAAAAGGUGCAUUGAUUUAAGCAUUGCCUCAGCACCGGAUCUCCUGUGAUGUCAGCAAGGCCUGUCCAUCAGGUACCUCACCCCAUUUGCUCUUCUCUAGCUUUGUUCUGAUGUCUCCUCGGGAUGCAGGCUGUGUGCACACAGCUGGCUCCAUCCCCAGGACCUGAACAACCCAAUGGGACUGACUCAGAUUCCUCUCCUCACCAGCAUUUGGUGUGAUGCAGAGUGUGAAGCCAGUGUGAAGUGAGCAGUCUUAUGGGUGGGGGGUAGAGACAGACUUUUCUGCUCCUCUGAAAAUUCAGAUCUUAGAGUUGCUAUCUUCCAGGUUUAUUGUUAGGGAUGGAUCCAAGGUCCAUCUUAUCCCAGUUGUCUCCUGGGUCUAGUAAUAGGUUGUCAUAUGCACGUGAGAGAGCCAUAGAGGAAACACACACAAAUAUACACAUACACACAUAUGCAUAUACACAUACAUACACAGAUACACAGACACACAGACUCACACAGAGACACACACUCAGAAACAAAUAGACACACACACACACACACACACACACACACACACACACAGAGGAGCCUUCCUUUGAAGUAAGUUCUAUUCCUCGCAGACCCCAGCAUCUGGCUGGAUAAGGAUUCUCAAAGAGUAGGUGUCCCAUGGCUUUAUUGUCUCAGAGCACAGACACAUUCAGGGAAGUUUUAAGCUGGCUACCAACACUUGGAACUCAGCUGGAAAGAGAGCCAGAGUAGAACAGGAGGAUGGCAGGGCAUGUCACCCCAGGGCACUGUCUUCAAGGACACCCAGAUGGGUGGGACAGGCUUCCUGUUCUCUUGUUCCACCAGGCCAAAGUCCUCCUGAGGCUGGGUGUCAGCGAACUCUUGCAUGUCUGUGAUUCCAAAUGGCACAUUGGUUGUUGAGGACAUUGUUGUGUCUCCAAACACCAUUCCCUGCUUCCACAUUAUUUAAAGAGGAGGGAGGGCCUUGUGUUCCAGAGGGCUCCAAACUUCUCCCUGUUUCCCUGGGAGGGGAGCUGGGAGGAACAUAAAUAAGACAAUUUAUUCAGAGAAACCAUCUCCCCUAUUUACAUUUAAAUUGAAUAAUUUAAAACACCUUUACCCAUUUCCAUAAAUUAUCCCCUUUGGACGGGCAGCCCAACUGUGAGGAGGGGUUGCCAUCCUGGGAAAGGCCUAAUUACAUUCCCGCUACAAGGCGGGCAUGGGAGGGGCAGUGUGCAGAGGCAGGGGCUAGAGAUUUGAGGAGGGAGCCGCCUAUGCAGGCACAUGCUGCUCUUGGAGCUGGUAGGAUGGAGGUGGCCAGGAGACGUGAAAAUGAGGUCCCUUUAAGAGCUUAUACACAGAAAGAUUAGUCAUUUUGGCUCAUCUGGUAAAGGUCCUGUGGCCACGUCUGGCAACCUGAAUUCAAUCCAUAUGGUAGAAGGGGAGACCAGACUCUUACAAGCGGUCCACGGACCUCCACAACUGUCCUGCCUCCCAUACAAAAUAAAUUUAAAAAAAAUUGUAAAGAGUGAAAAAAACUCCAAAAUUUUCUUUUCCUGGGAACAAUGACACUGGAAAUAAACUCUCACAAAGGAUACCACCCAAAGUUUGGCCUUGUGUCAUCCGUGGAGUCUUGACAACUCCCACAGACACAUCCUCGGUGCCCUGUGAAGAAGGAAGAUCUGAGUUUCUUUUCGGCUUUUCCUGAAACCAGUUACUUGCCAGGCUCUGGGCUGAAUGCUGGGGACCCAGGUGUCACUCUGUCCUGAGCUUCAGGGUCUCCAGGGCUGUGCGCUUAGAGCAGAGGUGAGACAGACAGGGUGGGAGAGCAGCAUGGGUGCACAGGUGCAGCAUGGAUGUAUGGAUGCCUGGGUACUUGGGUGCACAGGUUCAGCACAGAUGCAUGGCUGCGUAGAUGUAGCACAGAUGCAGCACGGAUGCACGGAUGCAUGGAUGUGGAUGCACAGAGGCAUGGGUGCAUGGGAGCUGCAUGGACACAGCAUGGAUGCACAGGUGCACGGAUGCAGCAUGGACACAGCAUGGAUGCACAGGCAUGGCUUUUGAAAUGGCUGCUCAACCCCAGGAGGUUCUGACACGUAAGCCCCAGGAAAGGCUACAGUGAAGCAGGGAGCCUCUUAACCUAAGAAAAAGGGGGAUAGAGUGACAUUUAAAGGACUAGUGACAGACUGGGAAGGUGCAGGGGCCUACAGGGGGGUAGGUGGCUGGAUUUAUCUCUUGGAAGAACUGGAGGGGGGCAGGAAACAGAGCUGAAGCCCAAGCUUGGUGACAUUGCCACAGAGCUAUUUUCAGAGUAGCUUGAGGUAGAGCAUGUGUGGGCACAGUGUGGGCACUUGACCCUUUGUCAUUGAUCCCAUUUGGGUCCAUUAGGAUGGAAACUUCCCUGGUGACUAACUGCCCCUGGAUGCCCACCCUCCAACAGUCUCACCAGGGCCUGAGGGUCUUUCCGGGCCCUGUGGAUGCAGAGGGCACCCUGUCUCUUGGCAUGUGCCAAUUUAAGUCACAAACUCUGUGGGUCCAUCUGCUUUUAGAAUCUCUUGUGUAACAUACCCUGUCCCUUCUGCCUGACUAGAUGUGAGAACCACCCACUGGUUCCACGGAUCCCCAGGAUGUCCUCCCAGACAUGGCUUUCCUGGAGCCCCUGUCUUCUGUGCGUGAGGGUGACAGCCCCGUGGGAUGGUGCUCUCCCUGAUUAAGGCGUUGGGAUGGAGGGUGAGCUGUGUGGUGACUUGGCUUGAAGAAGAGAACAGUGUGGGACAGUCUUGCAGGGAGGCUGGUGACAGGCUCUUCCAUGCUGUGGCAGGUCUGUGUGUUGUUUAACAGAUGUGGAAACUGAGGCUCUACGCCUGGGAGCCAGGGCUUGAUCUGAGCCACUUGGCCCUGACACUGCUGGCAGCUGAGCUGUGUGGCCAUCGAGGAUGCUAACGGUGGUCACUGGUGUGCAGUCCUGUGCUGGGAGCUCUGUGAGCAGAUGGGGUGGAAACCUUUCUGGGGAAAAUGGAUUAGCAAGACUGGUGCCUAAAACCUCUUCAGCCUACUUACACGUCAGAGGACUCUAAUCUAUGCAUUCCUUUGCCAUUCCAUGGUUCUGCUGGGGAAUGAGGAACAGUCUGGUAGGGGGAAAAUGUCUACAGACCAAGAAACUCCUCGCUCUCCUUUCCUGCUUUUUCAGAGCCAAGGAAGACAAGCCCUCUGUUGAGAAAAACGAUCUCCCAUGGUGGCCUCUGAACUCUUUUCUACACUUUCCCUCGCAUCUUCUGUGCCUUCCAGUAAAGUCAGUGGCUUUGCCUUUCCCUCCCUCCCGGAGCCAGGUUCAGAUCUCCUGCCCACCAUUUCCUAGCUGUGUGACUUUGGGAAAGCUGCUUGCUGUCACUGAACUGAAGUCUCUCUGGAAGUACUGUUGACCUCAGAUGCUUGUGAACCUUGGAUGGAGUUGCAUAGGGGGUGGGUGCCAUUGAGUUUGGCACUCAGCAGAUGGUCACCAAACACUAGCAUCUUUCCUGGUUGGUCUUUCACUUCUUAACGAGAGUCUUGCAGCUAUUCCCUGACUUUCUCUAAGGUCCCAGGAAAAGCCCCUACCCUGACUUCCCAGUGCCUGUGGCCCCUUGGACACAGAGCUAUGCUGUUUACAGAUGUGGCCUGGGAGUUUCAUGGGAAGACCUGCUCUGCUGCCUGGCUCUCCCAGUUUCUUGCUGUGUGACCUUGGGUAACUGUCUUGAGAUGUCUGUCUCACUCCAUUUAUGUCUUGCUCCCCACUGUUAAAAGAGACAAAAUAAUACUUACACAAUGUGGGGGUACACCGAACUCACCCAACACCUACCAUACCUACCUACCAUACUUUUUGAACCCAUAAUGAACACAAGGGUGGUCUUACUGUGUCUACACUGGGAGUGCUGGGUAGGAUCAGAGGCAUGUUCCACCAUGUCUAGUUCAUGCCGUGCUAUGGAUUAAACCCAGAGCUUUGCAUGUGCCAGACAGGCACUCUGUCAACUGAGCCACAUCUCCGGCCUGCACCCAUAAUGCUGUGAGUAUAUACACGUUCCCCCGGGUAGACACUGAUUCCUCUCUCUUGCAGGCCUGUUCAUGCUCCAUGCAAAGACAACCGCCAUCCUGGAAGGAUCUGUGAGAACCUUCCCCACACCCACUCCACAGGUUCCCACAUUAUUCACCGUGAGUCGGGUAAGUAUAUGUGAGCCAUGCAUGUGCCUGAAUCGUGGUGUCAACCAGAGAGCUUUUAGGGGACAAUUGUGAUCCCUCUGCUGGGGCUUCCAACAUGAGAUGGUCAAUGACCUAUAAGGUGGAAUUUUAUCUAACAGGCUGAUUGGCAUCUGUGACGUGCAAGGGAUGUCUAUGCUGUGCUCUGGGCUUCUAUUGGCACUUCAGGGAUUCCUCUCGAUUCUAUCCCAGAAGGACCUCCGGAUGCCAUUUUUCUCCAGCCCCGAGCUGGCUCAUUAGCUAGAUUUUAUAGGUCUGGGAGAGGGAGACUAACAAGAUGCAAAGGGAGAAAUCACACAGGGCAAGGCCCAGGAAAUCCUGGACUAUGGCACAGCCACACCAGCUGUUUUAAUAAGUUCCUAACUUUUCAUAAAGCACGGGGUUUCAUCAGAAGGCAAGUCAUUAACAAAGCCCCAAGGUUUUGAUUUUCUAGCGCUUGAGGUCAGCUAGUCGGUCUGACAGCUAGUAGAUCUGAUCUGGAUUUCUCUUGCUGCAUUUGAAGCCACCAACAUUCCUGAUGAUGCGGGGCGGGGGGUGGGCACCACUGGGUGAGGUGAGACACCCCUUUCUCAGCCUAGAGGGCUGCACAGCGUUAGUCUCUUGAGGGGAGAGUGCUCUGACCUGAUUUCUUGCUAAUUAAAUAUCUAAUGGGAAGUAUCUGUCUGUUAGAAUCGCUGCCAUCACCUUGGGGACGGGUCUUCUUUGUUUUGUUUUAUUAUUUUUUUUAAUCUGUAACUUGCCUACAAUUUUUAGAGACAAGCCUCACCAGCAGUCUCUCUCUCUCUCUCUCCUUCCCUCUACCUCUGGUGUCUCUCUGUCUCUCUGUCUCUCUGUCUAUCUAUCUAUCUAUCUAUCUAUCUAUCUAUCUAUCUAUCUAUCUAUCUAUCUAUCUAUCUAUCUAUCUAUCUGGAGUGUAGGGUCCGGAGAGCCGAGAAAGAGUUGUGAGUUUGAAUCUCAGAGCCUGACCUUCUUCCCUGAGCUUAUGUUGCACCUCAAGUAGGAUCUAGAAAUGGGUCUGACGGGCUGCAGUCGAGGCUGCUUUCUAUUGCCUGCUUUCCAAGAGCGGGAGGAGGUUAAAAAAAAAAAAGUGUGUGCUUUUUCUCUGCGUUAAUAAAACCCAAAAUGAGUCUUCAUUAAGGGCUCCAUUAGGAAGCCACUGUUAUUCUUGGCACUCAUUAGCGUUGCUGCUCACCACUAAAUUGCCACACUGGCAUUUUCCCAGGGCUUUGCGGAGCCCCCUCCAGAUGCUGGGGGGCAGUGCUUAAGAUAGCUCCUGUGUGCUGCUUCUACGGAACGAAGGAAGUAGUUUCCUAGGCCUUCACCUCACCCAUUCAGCUCGCUCACUCUCCCAUCUCUACGUUCUCACUUGCUCCUGUCGCAGAUGCCAAGGACUCCUUGCUUUGUGCUGUUUAAGGAUCUAGGGGACCCUGCAUGGAAGUUCCUCCUCUUGUCUAUCUCCUCCAUUCCCUGCAACAUGAGCCAUUUGGACCUUUCACAGUGGGACUGAAGAAUAUCUUUCUAAGAAAAUUGUGCUUAUUUUUUCUUGCUGAAUUCAGCUCCUAAGUUAUGCACUUAUUUUGCAUGCGUGUGUGUGUGUGUGUGUGUGUGUGUGUGUGUGUGUGUGAAUGUGAGAGAGAGGAGGGUGGUAUGCAUGCAUGUUUGUGUGUGUUCAUGUGUGUGGGUGCACUUGUUUGGAUGAAUGUGGUGUGUGUGUGCGGGCACAUGCGUGAAUGCAUGGAUAUGUGUGUGUAUGUGUGUGUGUGUGUGUGUGUGUGUGUGUAUGUGUGUGUAUGGUUAAUGUUGGAUGUCGUUCUCAAUUGCUCUUCACCUUGUAUAUCGAGAUGUGGGGACUCUUGCUGAACCUGGAGCCAUUUUUCAGUAUGAGUAGCCAGGCUUGCUCCAGGGAUUCUCUAUCUCUGAGUCUUGUUCAUAGGCAGGCCACCAUGUCUAAUUGGCUUUUUGUGGGCUCUGGGGAUCUGAACUCUGGUCUUUACAUUGCCAUGGCAAACCCUUUACCUGAUGAGUCAUCACUACAUCCCUCCUAAGUUGAUUUGGAUGACUGGAAAGCCUGCUUCCUUCAUUAUCCCCAUGGUGAAGAAAGUCUACCUCCUUCAGGGGUCCCUGUGGCGAGAUGCAAGUCUAUAUGAUGUGCUCCCCUAGGACCAGCUUGUUCCUCAGGGCCACGAUAUCCUUCCUCAUGCAGUCUUCCCUAUCUCAUCAAAUCCCACCUUUCCUUGGCUCUCAAAGGCUCUGUAGCCCCAGAGGAAAACACCCGGCCCAGAGGUGCCGACUUGUGUUCCUAGAUACUUUCAAGACCAAAGCAAGAAGUACAAAAGUCCAAGGCAGCCUGGGCAGCGGAGAGAGGCUCUGUUUCAAACUGAAGAGUCAAGGAGAGCUAGGGGUGUAGCUCAGGGGUAAGGUGCCAACUUAGCAAACAGGAGGUUCUAGGUUCAAUCCUCAGCACUGCAAAAGAAGACAUUAGGACAAAAAUCUGAGAACAAAACCCCUUAACAAACAAACAGCCCUCUGCAUAAGGUCUUAUACCGCAUUCUUAGUCAGAUGGUCAGUUCCCACAGGUAAGAAUUUUGGAUCCUGUGGUUUUACAAAUGGAACAAAUUAUCCACUGAGGAGUAUAGGUCGUUGUCAUGUUAUCAUAGAAAAACCAAAUGUUAGGGUUAAAAACAAAACAAAACAAAACAAAACAAAACAAAACAAUAAACAGUGAGGUUGGGACCACUGGAGAGGGUAGUGAGAGAGCUAAUAGCUGGAUGUGCUAUGUUGAGAGGAAGGGCAGGCGUCUAGAUAAACAACCAAGGCCAUCUCAGAAGGCUCUGGCUUGCUCCCAUACCCUUCCCUAAGGGGCACAUACAGGACACCAUUGCCCUUUUCCUUAGCAAACUUCUCGACAUUGUGGGUAUCUACACCUUUAGACACAUGUUCUUGUAUCUAACACACCCACCUGUAACAGACUGAUUUGUGGGUAAGAAUCUCUUCAAAGAAAACCUUCACUUUAUUUCUGGAAAGGAUCACCCCAGAUUGCACCAAAGGCGGGUAGGGGUGAAACGCGACACUAGAGAGCUCCAGGUCGCAGAGGCAGCCCUUUGCACUUGUGGCCUCACUUAGCCCAGCCCUCUACUCCAGAAAAAUUACUUAGUUUUGAUUUUUCACCCCUGCUAAAAUCAACCUUGGUGGGAGGAGAUGGCUCUCUGGGUAAAGGGUCUUGCUGCCAUCGACAUGAUUCAUGGCAUGUGCCCAUAUGCCCCCUCAAAAUAAGUAUUGUAAUUUAAGAAAUAAAAUAAGCCUUGGUCACUUGCUGGGUCUGCCUGUACUCCCUGUACUCCAGCGGAAAGUCUUCUCCGUGGGGAGUCAAUGACUGAGAUGGUUGCUGUAUUUGCUGUAGUUGUAGGAGGGAUGUGAGGAGAGGCUUGCCCACACCAGUCACAGAGGUGGUAGGAGGCUCAGACAGACUCAACCUCAGUCUCCUGACUUCUAAUAGAGAGCACUUCCCCAAGCCAUCUUGAUCCCCUUGUUCCUUUCAAAUACUGUGUUGCUAACAUCAGAAAGGAUGCUGAGACCCGCAGCUAUUGGUUACCUACAGACGUGACAGGAAGUAAGUAGGUGGGCUUUUCUCACUGGUGGAACCUUCUCAUCUAAUUCCAUUGUAUUCCUUCCCUAUAGUCCAUUGGAAAGCUUGGUACCUGGCCCAGGCGUGUCACAUGACCAAGGCACAUUGGGAACUUCCCUUUGCAAGUCUGUGGCGUGUGUUGAUGUUUUCUGGGUGUGCUGGGUCUUCAGGAAAAUUUCUCAAAGCGUCUGGAUUUUAGCUGGGAGAGAAAGAUGAGGCACAGGAAUAGGAGACUCUCUUUGGAGUAAAAUAGUUCCUUUUGAGCUUGAUGGUGGUGGCAGGAAGAGUUCUAGUUCGAGGCCAACUUGAGCUACAUCAUUACAAUUUGAUAUGAACCUGAGCUAUUUGGGGAGACCUUGUCUCAACCCUGCUCCCCUCCAAAGGACUCUAAAAUAAUUUCUCAGUGAAGUAUGGUAUAGACAGCCUCUGCACUGCUGAUCUCAGCUCCGUGUGGUAUAGACUCAUCCUUUGGGGUUUGAACUCUUGGCAUAGGAAAUGAAGGAAACAAAGCCUGACUGGCAGUUGCCUGGGAAGGGGGCUCCAAGUGCUCAGAGCCAAAGGACUUAACAAUCUUUGCUCAUGUUCUAAGCUGCUUUGGGGCCUAGGGAGUUGUAGUUCCUCUGGGGUAUCUGGGGCAUCGGUGGUCCACGGAUUAACAUCUCCUUGCUAAGGCACUGUAAAGUGUGGCUUUAGGUAGAAGGCAUGAUGAGUGGAAAACUCUCUCUUUUGUUCACUGUGACAAGGAUGGGAGUCUAGCUUUUUGUUGUCUUUAUUGGCAUAAAAACAAACAAACAAAAGACAAACACUAACUCUCUUGCCUUCCUUGGUAUUUUUAUGAGUCCCAGGGAGGGAAGUGGGACAUACUGCUUCUGGCUCUCCUGUCGUUAGAGCUGGUGACGAUAUGGCCGCGUGCUGUCUUUGAUGCACCCUGAUGCUGUCGUUUCCUCUUGGCAGAUCCCAUUUCUCUGGCUGCACUGGACCUGCAUCUUCAGGUUUCACAAAUACUCUGUUUUGGAGGGACAACACAGCAUUCCCUCGCUUGUCUGUUGUUUGAAGCCUCUGGAGGCAGGAAGUGUGUGGUAGGAGGAGGUGGAAGAAACGCUGGAGACAACUUCUCCUUCUCUGCUUUAUAGGGUGGUUGGAAAGUGUCUUGUGAUGUCAUAUGCACGUGGCAAUGGCUCUUGGAGCUGUGUACUCAGUGAGAAUGGUGGGAAAUGGCGUUGCCUCUGAUGUCAUCGACAAUAUCAUCAUUCUUGUUGCCUGGAGAGUGCAGGGUGAGGCUGUGCUGAAAUGAGGCGAUCUAGAGUAAGAGUCUGAUUCAUGACUGGUGCAUAACAGGCUUCUAAAAAUGAGAGCCAGGGCUGGAGAGAAGGCUCACUGGGGUAGAGUGCUUGAUGCAAAACCCUAACAACGCAGUUCUGGAUUCCUGGAGUCCACAUAAGGAGCCAGAUGUGGUGUGAGCAUCUGCAGUCCCAGCACUCCCGUGGGAGGAAAGGGGACAAAACAGGGUAAUAACCCGGAUCGCAAGGGACAGCAGGCCUGGGAGACACACAGCACAGUGACAGACAUGAGAGAAGGCUGCCCUUGAAAACAACAUGGAAGGAGAUAACUGACUGCUGAAAAGUUGUCCUCUGACCUCCACAUGUGAGCUGUGGCAUAUGUGCCUGAACUCAUGAAAGGAGGGAAGGAAGAUAUGAAGGAAGGGAGGAGGGAAGGAAGGUGGGAAGGAAGGGAGGAGGGAAAGGAGGAAGGAGGGAAGAAGGGAAGGGGAGGAAGGAAGAAGGGAAUGGAGGAGGGAAGGAAGGAGGGAGGGAGGAGGGAGGGAAGGAAGAAGGGAGGGAAAGAAGGAGGGAAGAAAGAAAGGAGGGAGGGAAGCAAGGAGGAAAUGAAGGAAGGGAAGGAGGGAGGGAAAGAGGGAAGGAAAAGGGAAGGAAGAGAGGAGGGAGGGAAAGAAGAAAGGAGGGAGGAAGAGAAGGAGGGAAGGAGGGAAGGAAGGAAGGGAGGAGGGAGGGAAGAAAGGAAAAAGAAUAAAAUGAAAGCUUCGUAGGUUUAUAGCUCAGUGGUAAAGCGUUCAACUUCCCAUGAAGAUCAUGUGUUGAUCCCGGCUUUAUAAACAGUCACUGUUGUGACUCCAGCUUGUUAAUGAGUGACACCAGCUUGUUAAUGAGUGACACCAGCACCCAGGCAGGUCUGGGUUGUUGUGCGAAGGAGAAAAGGGCCCUGGAGGGAGCUGUCCAUGGUUCCAAAUCCACCUACCACCAGGAGGACCCCUUGAUCCUGUCCCUAACCGUGGGUCAGAUAGGACUCAAAGCCCCAGUUUUCUCUGGCAAAAGGACUGCUCUGACCUGGAGUCUUGUAGCCUGUCUGGGCACUUGGAUGAGAGUAUAUGCCACACCCCAUCUGUCAGGUAUGUGGGAGGGAAUAUUCUCCCCACACUGCGUAUGGUGGGGGCUGCGUGGGAGGGCAUGAGGAAGAGCACUGUUCACACGGCCAGCCGGCCGGUGUAAGGACUGUGAGGCCAGGCGGUGAGGAAGGCGCCUAGAACUCCCUCACGGAAGGACCUGCUGCUUCCAACCCUUCCCUCAUCCCCACCCAUCAGUACAGAGUAAAUCUGAGCUCAGAGCAGCGCUGGUCCCCUGCCGGGCACUCCAAACUAAUUUUCUGGUACAUUAUACACUUGGCCUUUUGAACAAUCAAUGGCCUUAAAUGCUGUUUGGUUCCUGCAGCCAAAUCCAUGAGAAAUAAGACAUAAUCCAUCUGGCUGAUAUGACUGAAGCAAGGCGGGAAGGAGAGAGAAAGACAGAGCCCGGAGCUGCCAAGGGGGUCUUUGCUUGGCUCUGAGGGCGGGGAACUGGAGGGAGCUGCCAGCUCCGGAGAGAAUGGGCCUUUAAGAGAUAUUGAUGGCCGGCUAAUCACAGCACCGUUUGUCUCAAUGCCGCCUGCCCACUCUAGCUGUCACUCUGAGAGCUGAGCUCUGUGGGGGAAGGCUGGGGCGGUGCUCAGGAUUCUGAUUUGGUACAGAUGUCUUCUGAGCCUGGGUCUCUGUGUCUGGCUUAGGUCUCAGUCUAAAGCAAGAAAUGAGGGGCAGAGCUGGAGAGUAGAGUCUGGUCCUAAAAUAGGUUUGGGACUAUGUAUAGGGGCUAAUCGUUGCUCACCAGUUACAGUGUGACCCCUGGGGGGGUCUCACCUGGGGGCCUGGGCUGGCAGGGCUUAAAGUAUAGGAAGCGUCCUUUAGAGGGAGGGGCUUGACUCAGUUUCCCCUCUGAGAAGUAAGAGGAAAAGAAGAACUUGUUUCUCUCUUUACAAGGCCGAGACUCCUGGAAGGACAAACAGGUGCGCAGUUCAGACUGUGCCUACUGCUAUAGCCAGCCAGCUGGGCCUGUCACCCCAGGGACUCCCAACAUCCAAAGCUUCUCUCACAGCAUCUGGUUCACAAGGCCCCAGAUGACAAGAUGUGGGAGUCAGGUGCCUGAUCCAAGACUGGCUCUCCCCACCUGUCUCUCGAAGGGGUCACUGUCUGGAGAUGAAACUCAGCAGUGGGAUGAAGGCAUUUGGCCAUUUCCCUGUGAGAAAGAACCUGGGAGGAGAGAAGUGGUGCCCACUGGUGGUUUGGAGUCCCUGGUAGCUGUGGCCUACUGAGAUGAGGGGCAGGAAGUCCACCCCACCUGAAGGGUAUUUGGGAGGGUUUUUCUGAGCGAGCAGGUAAAAGGGCUGAGGUGGUGAGGGGUGGGAUGGGGUCCUGCUCUGCAUCUACCUGCAGGGAAGGGACCUGUCUAUCUAUCUGCCACUACAUUUCUAAAUACCACCUCAUACCCAGGUUGUUGCUUGUGCCACAUGUGAGACUCAAGGGCCACCUUAGUUGGCCCCUGGGGACAGAGUGACAUAGGAAGUUGCAAGGAGCCUAUCAAGGUAGGUGUCAAGGUGGAUGAGUCAGAGGCAAGAAGGGACAGGGAUCCCAGGGUAGGGGCACUGCUACACAGAGGGAGCCUCAAGAUGGUGAGCUCUGAGGGACAGUGAAGCAGGACCAGGAGUCUAUUUGGGCUGUGGAGCCCCCAUCUCCUCCUGUUUUCCUGGGCCACGGGUCUGCUCUGUGAAGCCUGGCCCUGCUUUGUCUGGUCCAGAGGCACUCAACUCUCAGUGGCUGCCACAGCAGUGACAUGAAUCACAAUGGCAUCUCUGAAAAGAGGGUGGGACCUGCACAUCACCCAGAAGGGUGAUUAUACUUUCAGCCUGUUCCACGAGGUGCAGGCUUGUCUAACAUGAUGUGUGCUUGUUCCUGCCAAAGAGGCAACUACAGAGCUGAGCUGGGAGGCCAGGGCUGGAGGGGACAGGGCUGCCUGAGGAACCAUCACCAAGGGACACCUGUCCCUCCUCAGGUCCUGGGAAUGAAGGUAAGAUGGGGGACUGAGCCAGAAGACCUCUGAAAGGGGGUACAGGGAAAGCUGGGUGUACUGGCUGGUUUUGUGUGUCAACUUGACCCAGGCUGAAGUUAUCACAGAGAAAGGAGCUUCAGUUGGGGAAAUGCCUCCAUGAGAUCCAGCUGUGGGCAUUUUCUCAAUUAGUAAUCCAGAGGGAGGGCCCCUUGUGGGUGGUAUCAUCUCUGGGCUGGUAGUCUUGGGUUCUAUAAGAAAUUGCUUGCUGAGCAAGGCAGGGAAAGCAAGCCAGUAAGUAACAUCCCCCCAUGGCCUCUGCAUCAGCUCCUGCUUCCUGACCUGCUUGAGUUCCAGUCCUGACUUCCUUUGGUGAUCAACAGCAGUGUGGAAGUGUAAGCUGAAUAAACCCUUUCCUCCCCAACUUGUUUCUUGGUCAUGAUGUUUGUGCAGGAAUAGAAACCCUGACUAAGACACUGGGUGUCACACAUCUGUGCUAAUCCUUGCCUAUCACUGUCACAAUGGCAGCCAUUCCUAAUACUCAAAUGGUGUUUGUACUUUUCAAAGUAACUCUCAUGGACUGAGGAGACAGCUUGGUUGGUAAGGUGGUUGCAUCGCAAGUGUGAGAACCUGAUCCCAGAUUCCCUACAACGCACAUAAAAAGCUGGACUUAAUGGUUCACACCUAUGAUCUUAACACUUGGGGAGGUGGAGGUAGGCAGUGAAUAUCUUGGGCUUUCUCCUUGUUGAUAUGAGUCUCCUGUUUCCUCUUCUCCUAAUCUCAUCUCAGGCCAGUUCUAGGUAGGUCUCCAGUCCUGAUUUCUUAAGGCUGGCCUUACCUCCUGAAACACACAAACACCUUCAUGUGUUGAAUGUUCCACUCAGACCACACUGGUCCCUCUGAGGACAUUGCUUCCCUGCCUUGCACACUGUGGCAGCUGCUGCCCUCCGUCCUUGUCCUUUCUUCCUUAGCCUAGGACUGGCAGCUGUUCUGCCUGAUGAUGCUUCCAGCCUACACUCUUGACCCCCACUUGGAUUCUGGGGAUAAAAUCGUUUCCUUCUCACCCCUUCCCAAGGUGGCUACAGUUCUUCCUUCUGUGAAGUUUCAAUUAAUUUGCUCUUUCAUUCAUUUAUUUUUUGUGUGAGUGUGCACGCACGUGUGCCAUAGCACACGUGUGGCAUACGUGUGGAGGUCCGAGGGCAACUUGUGGGAGUUGGUUUUUAUCUUCCAACAUCUGAGUGAGUCCUGAGGACAGAGGUCCAGUCAUCAAGAUGGGCAGCAAGACCUUUACAAGACGGGCUCUAUCACUAGCCCUGAUUAUUAGUGUUCUCCCCCUCCUCAUCAUCAUCAUUAGUGUUUGAAAUAUGGUCUCACUGUGUUACAGCCCAGGCUUGCCUCAAACUCAAGAGUGCCCAACUCCCUGAGACCCCAAAAGCAGCCUGCAGGGGAGGUUUUUGUGGCAUUAGCUUAGAAAGAUGAAUACCGUUCUCCCUGUUUGUUCACAGAGGUGCAGAGAAGGGGAGGCCCUAACUGUCUGAGACCUUUGUCCUUGGAUAGAAGAUACACCAGAUAACCUCAUCAGACGACGAGCCAAUCAGAGGAUGAUUCAAUCAGAGAGGCUUUUGGACCUUCUCUGGAUAUAUACCAUGCGUGAGGAGAGAGAGAGUGGUUGUCCUGGUCUGAGGGGGCAAGGUGGAGUCAGAGGAGAUGGAUGGGGUGUCAGCUUCCGAGUGUCAAGGUGAGCUACCCCACAGCGGCAAAUCUAGGCCACCAUCGAGAACCAGGGGAUUUUCAAGUUACGAGCCCCUGGGGACAAUUGCUGAUGCAGCUUCUUGGAGCUCCUGAAUGAUGUCCCUGGGUGAUGACACAUCUGUUUAAAUAAGGCCCGCCUUCUGGGGUUUGGACUAACUUCCUUGGAAUGGCAGGGAGGUAUAAGACCCAUGAUCUUCUGCAGGUCUUGCUGCCUCUGCAGAGGUCGGUAGAGGCUCCAACGACGUGCCCUUGGGCACCACCAACAGAAACAGCACCUCUUAUAGGGCUUCUUCCCUCUAGGCUCUGACUGAUCUGUCUGUCAUAGGCAUCCCAGGACUGAUUGUACAGUCAACCUGUCUCCACACCACUAAAGCUCUAUGAAUAUCAGUGACAUUAACGGUGACUUUGUUCUUCUAGGCCCCUCAGUUCAGUGAUGGCCCUGGCCCUGGCACCAUUGGUCUUUCAGCACAACACUCAGAAUCCCGCCCCUUCUCAGAAUCCCACCCCCUUUCAGAAUCCCACCCCUUUCUCAGAAUCUCUCCUCUUUUGGGAUCCCAUCCCUUUCUCGGAAUCCAGACCCUUUCAGAAUCCCGCCCCUGCUCAGAAUCGCACCCCCUUCAGAAUCCAGCCCCCUCCUCAGAAUCCCACCCCUUUUUCAGAAUCUGCCCCCUUCUCAGAAUCUGCCCCCUUCUCAGAAUCCCACCCCCUUCUCAGAAUCCCGCCCCCUUCUCAGA
rnacentral:lncRNA from 1 species